CCUACGGAGGCAGCAGUGGGGAAUAUUGGACAAUGGGCGAAAGCCUGAUCCAGCCAUGCCGCGUGUGUGAAGAAGGUCUUCGGAUUGUAAAGCACUUUAAGUUGGGAGGAAGGGCAGUAAGCUAAUACCUUGCUGUUUUGACGUUACCGACAGAAUAAGCACCGGCUAACUCUGUGCCAGCAGCCGCGGUAAUA
rnacentral:rRNA from 1 species